UGCGCCAGCUACGCUGCAGCGAUGCCCGUUCAUGGGCCUAUCUUAACUACCUUAGCCAUUCGGGCCCAACAAGGAUAAUGUUGGGCUUCCGUACCUGAUGGCCCACAACUUCGGCUUUACUGCACUUAAGAUAAAUAUCAUGUACGGUUCACUGGAGAAGCCCUCCACCAGUUGUAGUUGCUAGUUAGUACAGGUCUUAUCUACAACCCUGCAUUAGCUAUCUCACUCUAAUUUGGCUAGCUGUCAGGACAGUCUGCUUACUCGAAACUUGAGGCAUGUUUCUUUAAUAUAAUUUUCUUUUCUUCUUGGAUGUUUAUAGCGCAUACGUGAUCUUUUGAAGUACUGCUAUAGAGAGGAAGACAAGUUCUUCUCAUUUAACAUCUUUUUUUUAAUUUAUUUUUGUUAAACUUUUAGAUCAAUCGUUUGAAUUCUCCUCAAUAUUUGCUUGCUUCAUGUUCUCUUUGUUUUUGUGCAACAGUAUGAUCUUGGAAUAGGAAUGCUGCAAGACAAUUCAAAUAGAAGGUUAGUUUCAUCAUAUUAUAUGGUUAAAAUUACUUUAAAAUUAUAUGGUUAAAAUUACUUUGUAAUGGUUGACUGUCACUGUUGUUUGCAUUGGCAGAUCAUGGAUGGAAUUCCUGCAAGAGCCAAGCACAAACUGUUGUCAGCGCUUCUCUGUUGAUGUUUCGUUUCUCGUUGCCACCUUUCUUGCAGACCGGUUAGGGUUAGGUUACACCAUCUGCUUCAGGUGAUUUCGGGAAUGUGGAAUGUUUCCUCUUCAUUUGAGAAGAAAGAGAGAGUGUUUUGUUGGAAUAUUACUGGUGCGUAGGUUUAUGCAUGGCUUUUCAGGGCUCAAAUCAAGGGGAAAAAAUAGACUAAUGGGCUGGUAAAUUUAUGUUCUGGUAAAAAUAGACUAAUGGCUUUAUUUAGUUCCACGAAUCCUGGUGAACUCCGGAACUUAAAAUGAAAUCCUAAAAUUGUUUCUCUAACCUCCUAUCUCAAUAUGGGCUGUUCUUUUUUUUUUUCUGGUCAACUAUUUCCCCCAACUUACGGACCCAUCUCGGCCUGCAGGCCUGCCGAGGCCUCUUCUCUCCUUUCGUCGUUCGGUCCCUCUAAUUUCGCUCUUGUGCUUGCGCACCAGGCGCCAUCUCUCACCGCGCCAGGAGCUUUGCAGCGCCAGACGGCCCCGCUCCACACCACAAUAUUCUUCCUUGGAACCUGCGGGCUCCGCUGAGCCGCUGCGUGAUCUUCUAUUCGCGACUCUGUGUACCUCGCCAUGUUACAAUUGCCUUCACUUUACUUCAUCAUUGCUCUCUAACCUAGGUACUCGGUUAUGAACAGCGCGCCGGCUAAGCGAGUACCCGGUGAAGGCGAGCGCAACGAGCCCUAGCACAUGGCAUCCAUCGAAAAUACAGAAUUUUCAGAGUAUGGAAUUUUCAGUCCGCGGUGUGGCCAACAUUAUCUUUAUAUGAUUUUAUUUGCAAACCGAGUUUUUAAGUAACAACGUAAAUAAAACACUCUCGUAUCAUUGCUCUAAAGGGGGAGUAAGGAAUAACAGAAAUAACGUCGUGCCAUUCCCCAGAAACAAAGAACAACUGUAAAAAUUGGUUCUAGAUGAAGCUAAAUUGACCAUCGAUGGCGAUUGUGUCAACACGGCAAACAUCCAUACAGCUAGCAUUGACUGACUUGGCUGAUAAAUCCAGGCCACUUCACUGUUGAGUACUUCAGGAAACUCGACAGGUCUUAUGACAAGUCUCGGUUGACUCGAAUUAUUGACCUUAGGACACUGACCUUGAUUUCCUCAUCCCCUUUCCUAUUGUCUUGCGGUCCAGAUGCCCAUUACCCAGUGCCUACCAGUGUGUGCUUCUCCCUCCGAUUGUACAUACGUGCGGGUCCCACAUAUCAGCCCCUUCCAUCCUCUUUACUUUAUAAUCUCCAAAGCAUGGGCCGCCCUUCUUUGUUACCUGUAUGGCUGUAUCACCUCCCCUGCCGAUGAGUGCCCAUGCAUGCUGAUACUUUGGUACCAUCUGCUCCAACCAAGCACCACCUCUCAUGCAAGUCAACAUAGAUGGUAUUUGGUGUCAAUUCACUGCUUAUAUUUUUAAAUGAAUUUAAUAUAAAUUUUGAUUAUCUAUUGCUUCUAAAUUCAUGUCGAAAUUAAUUUGAUAAUUUUUUAACCUAUAAUAUCCUAUACUUCAUUUUAUGAGGAAACUAUCAGAAAAUGAAUUGUAAUUUUUAUGACUCAUAUCUAUUUGCUCUCUUUAUUAGAUAUUUUGCUUUCCAAUUGUAUGUAAAUCAAACUUUUAUUUUAUUUUUAUCAUUCGGAGUUUUAGUUUUUUUAUUACUUCCAUGUCAAGAUGAUAUUCUGGACAAGAUUCCAAUCAACCUUUUGAAAAUCUAACCACUAUUGACAGCUUUUAGAAUAUUCAGUUUGAAAAUUAGAAUACUCAUUGAAAGACAUAAUAUAAUAUUUUGUAUGUUUAUAUAAUAUCUUCUUACUGAAAAUAGCGGCCACACAGCUAUGUUAUCCAAAACACCUUCUUUUCUUUAAGAACAGGGGAACGAUUGUUUUUUUCCUAUUUUAUUAAUAUGAUAUUUUAUAGUCAAUCCGGAGACUUCUUUUCUCUUAGCUUUGCCUUAUUAAAAUAACAAUUGAAGAUUCCGUAACUAUGGUUGGAGCCAGAUAUUUACUUCCAUGGCCCCAGUUCGCUGGUCUUCCUCUCGAGUCAGCGACCGGAAUGUGUGGUUCAGAGCAACCAGAGAACAGAAUAUCUACACACGAUUGAUUGGAAUUUGGAAACUGCAAACCAGUAGCGCAAUGGCUCCUGCCAAGGAUCGCCUCCACAACCUUCUGGUCCUGCUCUUGUUCAUAGGUUGCCUCUUCAUAGAUGCUGCCGCCAAGCUUAACACCACAGCGCCUUGCCUCCCGGAUCAAGCUUCUUCCCUCCUCCGGCUAAAAGCUUCCUUCAUCGGUGACAACCUACCAUCAUGGCAAGCUGCAACAGAUUGUUGCCACUGGGAGGGCGUCACCUGCGACAUGGCCUUUGGAAGAGUCAUUUCUCUUGACCUCAGUGAGUUCCACCUAAUGAGCAGGCGUCUUGAUCCUGCGCUCUUCAACCUCACCUCUCUCAGGAACCUCAGCCUUGCAUCUGUUGACUUCAGUGGAUAUUUCAUUUCGCUCCCGGCUUUUGGGUUUGAGCGGCUCACGGAUAUCAUUUACCUCAACCUCUCUGAUACCGGUUUUAAGGGUAAGAUCCCAAUUGGAAUUGCGUGCCUCAAGAACCUUGUGACCAUUGACUUGUCUGGUAAUUACAACUUGUAUUUUGAACGGCCAAGUUUCCAAACCAUCAUGGCAAAUAUGAGCAAUCUGAGGGAGCUUUAUCUUGAUGAAGUGGGUUUACAGGACAUCGGAUCGGAUUGGUCCACUGUUUUAGCAGACUCCGUUCCCCAGCUACAGAUUCUUAGUUUGUCCCGCUGUGAUAUAUCAGGUUCUAUCCACCCUUCAUUCUCAAGGCUUCGCUCACUUACAGCGAUCAACCUCGGAUACAAUGAUGGACUCACCGGCGGCAAAGUCCCGGAGUACUUUUCUGAACUAUCUUCCUUGACCAUUUUAGACAUAUCAGGAAAUCAAUUUGAAGGGCAAUUUCCAACAAAAAUAUUCCAGCUAAAAAGUUUGAGGACGCUUGAUUUGUCCUGGAACCCCAUGCUUUCUACGAGAUUAACAUAUUUCCCAGCUGGAAACAAUUUGGAAGUACUAAAUCUAGAAGGGACCAAUUUCUCUUAUGACACGCCAUCCUCGUUUGGUAAUCUCGAGUCUUUACAGACAUUGGGGCUUAGCACGAUGGGCAUUGAUAAUGAACUCGCCUCUUUGAUAUCUGAGCUUCCAGCAUUGGAUGACCUGCAACUCUUUGGGUCAGGUUUGGAGAACCCGGUAUUAUCUUGGGUCAGCAAUCUUACCCAAUUGACAAACCUGCAGCUUGAUGGUUAUGACUUCACUAAAUCGGUUCCCACUUGGAUCGGCAAAUUGACAAGGCUGGAAAGUUUGACGAUAGAGGAUUGCAGUUUCUCCGUGCCAAUACCAUACCAGAUUAGAAAUCUUACUAAAUUGGCAGCGCUGCAGUUCUCAGGUUGCGACUUCGCUGAGCAAAGAAUGCCAUCAUGGAUAGGCAAUCUUACAAAGUUGACUUCUUUGGUCAUUGGUGGUUGCAGUUUAUCUGGGCCAAUACCCUCAACAAUUGGGAACCUGAUCCAACUUGAAGAGUUGAAGUUCUCCUAUACUGACAUCAGCGGUGAGACUAUGUCCCAGUUACUUUCUUUCUAGAUACCUCAUUUUAUUUUGCAACUGUAGACAGACGCUUUAAUUUCUUUAAUUCGCUCUUGCUCCUCAUACUCGAACUAGGAAGCAGGGGAUACCUACUAUAUGACACGUCAUGCAUACACUGUUAAAAAAAAUAAUGAAUUUAAGUGAAGAAGAAAAUUUAACACUACCAAAUCAAUAGAGUGACCUUCAGAAAAAAAGAAAAAGGCUUUGGCUAGUAAUUUUCGGCGCUGUUGAGAAAAGAAAAACCCUGAUAUUUUCACUUUGAGUCUAUGACCAAAUUUUCAUAGUUUCACAGUUUGGAAGGUUAGAUGCCUUUAACACUAGUACACACGAGUCACGACUCAGGUCUUCUUUUCCUUCUUUUUUUUCUCUCUUGACAUGAUUCAUUUCAGAUACCAUAAUACAGUAUUGGUCCAUUUAUAAAUAUACCAAGGAAUAUUAAUUUUUUCGGACAGGCCUUUUUUAUUAUUUUGAUCAGAUUUACAUGUAAAUGUUCUCUAACAAGAAAUCAACUUUAGUAUAUAUCAUUUGUAGAUCGAAACACUGGAUCUGUAAAAUAUAUAUUGAAUAUGUUGUGUUAACGUUGUUCAACUUUCUCCGGUCUAAGGCCUCUUUGAAACAAAGGAACAACAAAAGAACUAUUGAAAAACCUGAGCGUGGUCUCUCUCUCCCUCUCUUUCUCUCUCAAACCUGAGCGUGGUCUGGAUUUUCUACUGAUUUGUGAAGGAAGAGGACCCUUUCUUUCUUGUGGAAUUGGAAUUGGAUGGUGCAUUCCCAAAUUCCAAAAUCCAAACGGUACUUUCCUUUCCUCCGGAACGCAGUUACUUUAGUGUCCUUGCCCCCUGUCAGUUUCGUCGCUUUUUUAGGCUAGUCUCAAUGCACAACUUCAUUGCAUUGUUACCAAAACUGCAAACUUGGUAACUGUGCCUGUUGGAUUUCAUGGGAAUGAAACUCCUCUCCCAUUUCAUGAAACUCCAUCCUCUCUCCUCAUAAAGACUUUGCCAAAUCAGCAAAAUUGCUGAUGUGGUAUAGAAAUUAAUGCUGAUGAAACUUUUUAUAAAACUUUCACUGAGACUAGCCUUAGAUUGCAGCAACAUUCGGAUAUGUUUAGCUCCAAUGUAAUGAGAUGCUAAUUUGGUUCAAUUUCAUACUAGCACUUUCAGUGUGAAAAAACAUUAAUAAAGUCUGCAACAUUCUGACUGUUGGUAUUCUACCCUAACAUGCAGGAAAAAUUCCGAAGUCUUUGUUCACUCUUCCAGGCCUGCAGCAUCUUCAUCUAAUUAAGAAUCAGCUUGUUGGCUCACUAGAAGACAUUCCUGCUCCUUUAUCGUCACCAUUGCGGGAGAUUGAUUUAGGAGGUAAUCAAUUGACAGGCCCAAUACCAAAAUCACUUUUUCAGCUCACGAAUCUUGAGCGUCUCAGUCUUGAAUCGAAUAAAUUGACAGGCACAAUAGAACUUGGCUCUAUAUGGAGGUUGAAAAAUCUCACUUAUCUUAACCUGGGUAACAAUUUGAUAUCACUCGUAGAAAAAGAAGGUGAUAUGAUAUUCUCUUAUUCCCUUAAAAUCCAAGAGUUAUACCUUCCAUCUUGCAACCUUACAAAAUUUCCGGAAUCAUUAAAAUAUCUUGACACUAUUCAAGUUCUCGACCUUUCUAAUAACCAAAUCGAAGGGGCCAUACCUAGUUGGGUGUGGGAGAAUCCCCUUGUUGAGUUGGAGCUCUCACGCAACAUGUUUACUACUUUAGAGAAGUCUCCUGCUGUUCAGAUGACACAUUUAGUUUUUCUUAAUCUCAGUGUUAAUAGAAUUCAAGGAAGCAUACCAAUACCAUCAACUCCAUCCGACCUGGUUCUGUUGGAUUACUCAAAUAAUGAUUUCUCUACCAUUGAACCUAACUUUGGCAGGUAUCUUAGAAAUGCCAUCUACAUCAAUUUGUCAAAAAAUAAAUUAAGUGGCCAUGUACCACUUUCAUUUUGUAGUUUAAGCCAACUUGAGCUCAUGGACUUAUCUUACAAUAACUUUAGUGGACCAAUUCCAUCAUGUCUUAUGGAAAGAGUUGACCUGAGCAUAUUGAAGUUAAGAGGAAACAAAUUACAUGGCGUGCUACCUGAAAAUAUUAGAGAAGGAUGUAAGCUUCAGACAAUUGAUUUCAAUGAAAAUCAAAUUGAAGGUGCGCUACCUAGAUCACUAGCAAAUUGCCAAGACUUAGAGGUUCUUGAUGUUGGCAGUAAUCAUAUUGUAGAUUCAUUUCCAUCAUGGAUGGGUACUCUUCCAAAGCUUCGAAUUCUUGUGUUGAGAUCUAACCAACUGUAUGGCACUAUAAGGGAUCUUCGCAGUGGCUACCAACACUUCACAAGUUUGCAAAUAGUUGAUUUGGCCUCCAACCAUUUCUCUGGUGUCUUACAUUCUGAAUGGUUUGAGAAUUUUAUUUCAAUGAUGAAUAACAACAAUGAUGAGGGGCAGAUAUUAGAGCACGAAACAAAUGCAUCACGGGCACCAUUGUAUCAAGAUACUGUCACUAUCACAUUCAAAGAUGCUGAUUUAAGCAUCACCAAAAUCCUUACUACUUUCAAAGUAAUUGAUUUGUCAAAUAACUCAUUUGAGGGUUCCAUUCCAAGUUCAAUUGGAAGGCUUGCUUCACUUCACGGACUUAACAUGUCGCACAAUAACUUCACGGGAGAAAUUCCAUCACAACUUGGGAGGUUAACAAGGUUGGAAUCAAUAGAUCUCUCUUGCAACAAUCUCUCGGGAGAAAUUCCACAGGAGUUUACCUCCCUAACUUCUCUUUCCUGGUUGAACCUUUCGUAUAACAACUUGACGGGAAGAAUACCGCAGGGAAACCAAUUCUUGUCAUUUCCCAGCAGUUCGUUUGAAGGCAAUGCUGGUCUAUGUGGAAUUCAGCUUUCCAAGGAAUGUGACACUCGUCCAGAUUCAACCACCCCAAGCACAUUGGCUCCACAACGCAAUACUUUGUGGCAGGAUAGACUUGAUGCCAUCAUUUUGUUCCUCUGUGCUGGCUUGGGCUUUGGCGUGGGUUUUGCAUUGGCAAUCAUAUUCGGUCCCUUUUACCACAUAGAAGAAUGGCUUUGCAAGCAUUUGUAAUAGUAAUAUAAGUUUUCAACAAGAAUAAUUAUGUAUGUUUGUCUUGUUCUCGUUAUUAGAUGAGACAUUUUAAAUCCACUCAGUUGUAAUUACGUUGUAACUAGUCCAUCAACCCGUACUUCCACAUGAGCUAGUAUUUUCAAAAGCUGUUGUAUUUGAAAAUUAUUUAGAAAUUAAACACCUUGCUAAUAAUCAAAAUUAUUUACUUAUUACUCUCUCAUUUUUCAACACUUCAACGUAGUACUCAAAUAGAUGUGUACUUAUUUUUAUCCAGUUGUGAUUGAUUUUUAAUUAGUAAUUACUCUAUACACUUUUUCAUCCACAUUCACACUUUUUUAUUUUAUAUCACACCUCCAUAAAUUGUGUUUAGCAUCAAAAUUAAUAUUUUUCAUCACUUCCUCACAUACAUGUAUAAAUGGUCUACAUGGUGUCAUUCAUCAUGUCUAUAUACCUUAAUUUAAUAUUUCUAUAUUAACAAUGACAUAAACUGGUAAUUUAAAAUCAUAUAUUAGUUUAUUUUUGGAUAUUUCUGUAUGAUGCACAUGCAUGAAGAUAAUUAAAUUAAGAAUUAUCUGUUUACUUUAGAUUAUUUUUAAAAACGACGUACAUGGGUAACUUAGAUACAAAUUUAGAAUGACAUUUUAAGUUAUGCUUUAUAACGAUAGUCAUGAUUAAAUUGGAUGAAGAUUAUGGGUUACUUUACAUUAUCUUUUAUAAUGGCAGGUAAAUUAGAUAUAGGUUUAGGGUUUAUAAUGAUAGUGGUGGGUAAGUUUUUAGAAAAUAUAAUAGACCAAUGACUAUGAUUAAUAUAGUUUGCAUGAUUGAUAUUUGAUAUUUAUGAUUAUUGUGAGAAUUUCUAGGAUUUGUGUUUUUUAGCGUAUCUCUUGAGAACUAAUGCAGAGUCUCCAAUGAAAAAAAAAUAAGGCCACAUCGCUAAAAAAAUUACCUUGAGCUAUUUCUCAUUUAUUAAAUAUUGAAACACAAUAGUUAUAUAGAUAUAUAAUUAUGAUCGAUAGAUUUUAAUUGGUAAUUUCUCUUCAACAUUUUCAUCCACAUUUGUAUUGAAGAUAUGCGCUUGAAUUUGUUUAAUGGAUCUUAAGUUUGAGCUAUCAUUUUAACAUAGAAAUUUGUAUUUCCAUCACUUUCUCUAUAUCUUUAUGAAUGGUGACACACAUCAUGCCUAUAUACCUUAAUUAUUAUAUCGUAUACCUACAGCGUAAGAAAUAGACGAUUUAAUAUCGUAUUUUGAUGUAUAUUUUUAUUUAAGGUGAUUUGGAUUCAAAUGUAGUUUACCUCAUGUUAUUUCUAAAUAGCAUAUGUGGGUAAUAAAGAUGCAAAUUUAAGGGGUCAUGUUAACUUAUUUUUUAAGUAUUAGUGGUGGGAUAUUUAGUUGCAAAUUUAGGGGGUUAUUUUAAAUGUUAUUUAUAAUGGUAUAAGUGGGUAACUUUGAUAAAGAUUAGGUGGUUACUUUAGUUUAGUUUAUAUAAUGGUAGAGGUGGGUAAUUUAGAUAUAGACUAGCAAAAUAUCGUGCGUUGCUACGGUAAAAGAUCAAUUCUAAUGAUAUUUUUUAUUUCCAUCACUAAAUUUUUAUUCCACUUAUUGGACGUCUACACAUUUAAUAGAAAACUAAAAGAAUUUUGACUUAAUUAUUUCCUUCAACUCAAAUACCCAUUACAUUAAAAUAUUUUUUAUUCAAGCAAGAGAGUUAAAUCAGCCUCAUAUGGCCACCGAUGGGGCUCUUUAGUCCUUCUAGCCAUGUAAUAUCUUUUCACAUGUAUUUCAUCAAACAGGAGACGGCACGCUCAAACUUUUCCAUCAUGCACAUCCCGUUGUAGGUACGGUGGCUUAGGUUACACCUUAUUUGGAUGGGCUAUAACUACCUUUUAAAUGGUUAAUUAGGGGGUGUUUAGUAGCACUCAACUUCAAUUUUUUUAGCUCCACUCUACCAACUCCACUCCAGUUUAAUUUUUUUAGCUCCACUCCACUUCAACUCCACUCUACCAACUUGAGAAAAAUAAUAAAGUUGUCUACGUACUUGGCAGAAACAUGCCGUGCCCCCCCCCCCCCCCCCCCCCCCGCAAUAGCAAACCAACAGGCUGCCUUCUUCACCGGUCAAGCAAGCUGCUUGCUCCUCUCUCAAAUCCGAACAACAGUGCAACGCCCGAACAACAGUGCAACGACGGGCGGAGAGCCUGGCGCGAGCGGAGCAGCAGCCUAACCCUGGCCAUGACCUCCACCCCGACGAUCCAAGCAGCAGCAGCGUGGCCCCUGCUCCGGCCCCGACCCCAGCGAGGUGACCCAACCGUGGAGGGCAGGGGCGGCGCGGCCACGGUGGGACCUCCCCUGGUCGCCUCGGCGGGCAAGAGGAUCCUGAAGCCCUAAAACGUGCCGAAAGCAGUUACCUGAGACACUGUUACAGUAACCUUUGGGGGUGGAGCAUCACAGCAAUACAGCACAGAGUAAAAUCUCUGAGGAUUCCAUGCUUUUUGCGACAGCAACUCUCGUUAGUACGUACAGGCAAGUGAUGCAAAACAUGGCAUAACUACAUCUAAAGCAUUAUCUGCUCUUUACAUGCUGAUUUUAACUCUGUACAGCAAGGAAACGGGAGCAUUUUUUUCCCCUGAAAAUCUGUAUAGUUCUGAAGUGUUGUACAUCUUCGUAAAAGAUUAAUUGAAAAAUGAUAUAGCACAACAUACAACCACACUUGCUAAUUCAAACGACACGAAGCAACACCUCAUAUAGAUCCAAUUCCAACAAAUAUAAGCAGAACAUAUGUCCCAUUUUCCAUCAAACAAGUUUUGUACAAAAGUUCUAUAAGCGGAUUAGCACCACCUCAUAUCUUUUUUACAGUAUACAACCAUAAGAAAAAUAGAAAAAUAAGAGUCGCCAGAUUUCUGUGGCAUGCGAGUGCGAUAGGGUAGCUGAGGUCACCUAUACGAGGGGCGAUAGGGGGAUCUGCUACGGAUGGGGCUUGGACUUCGGUCCCUGCAGCCCCUCCGGCCGCGGUACCGCGCGGGGGGUGGCGACCGCGACAGGUCGCGCGGCAUCGCGCGCGACGAGAUCUAGAGCCUCCGCGGAGCCCGGAACCCCACGGAUCUGGCCGAGACCCGACGAUCGGAGAGGCACGGUGGUUGAAAGGAGGUCAGUGAAGGGGGGUUGAAGAUGCCGGUAGCUCAGCACAGUGGCACAACUGAGCAUUCCUUUCCUCAAUCUCCCGAUUCAUGUCAUCCCACUUCUGAUCUAGUUCCUCGAGCUUGGCCAGUAUCACAGCACACAUCUCCUCCGUCAUGUUCACUCGUGUUCCGAUGCGGUGGUAGUGGUGGUUUUUUGAUCGAAAUAGUUGUGAACCAAAUGUCACACCCUAGAUGCAACUCACAGAACAAAUUAUCCCCCAACGAUGAACUACGGAAUAUAUAUAUGAAGUAUACUAGAAUUUGGAUACACAUGGAUGAGGAACUCGCUAGUGUUCUCGAGCCGAAGCUUGCCACCGCAGAGCCAAUGAGUCCCAAAUCCAGUUCUUCUUUCCCUCACGACGACUUUUUAAUCCUCUUACAUGCUGCGCCAGCUAUGCUGCAGCGAUGCCCGUUCAUGGGCCUAUCUUAACUACCUUAGCCAUUCGGGCCCAACAAGGAUAAUGUUGGGCUUCCGUACCUGAUGGCCCACAACUUCGGCUUUACUGCACUUUAGAUAAAUAUCAUGUACGGUUCACUAGAGAAGCCUCCACCAGUGAUAGUUGCUAGUUAGUACAGGUCUUAUCUACAACCUUGCAUUAGCUAUCUCACUCUAGUUUGGCUAGCUGUCUGCUUACUCGAAGCUUGAGGCAUGUUUCUUUAAUAUAGUUUUCUUUUCUUCUUGGAUGUUUAUAGCACAUACGUGAUCUUUUGAAGUACUGCUAUAGAGAGGAAGACAAGUUCUUCUCAUUUAACAUCUUUUUUUUUUCAAUUUAUUUUUGUUAAACUUUUAGAUCAAUCGUUUGAAUUCUCCUCAAUAUUUGCUUGCUUCAUGUUCUCUUUGUUUUUGUGCAACAGUAUGAUCUUGGAAUAGGAAUGCUGCAAGACAAUUCAAAUAGAAGGUUAGUUUCAUCAUAUUAUAUGGUUAAAAUUACUUUAAAAUUAUAUGGUUAAAAUUACUUUGUAAUGGUUGACUGUCACUGUUGUUUGCAUUGGCAGAUCAUGGAUGGAAUUCCUGCAAGAGCCAAGCACAAACUGUUGUCAGCGCUUCUCUGUUGAUGUUUCGUUUCUCGUUACCACCUUUCUUGCAGACCGGUUAGGGUUAGGUUACACCAUCUGCUUCAGGUGAUUUCGGGAAUGUGGAAUGUUUCCUCUUCAUUUGAGAAGAAAGAGAGAGUGUUUUGUUCGAAUAUUACAGGUGCGUAUGUUUAUGCAUGGCUUUUCAGGGCUCAAAUCAAGGGGAAAAAAUAGACUAAUGGGCUGGUAAAUUUAUGUUCUGGUAAAAAUAGACUAAUGGCUUUAUUUAGUUCCAAGAAUCCUGGUGAACUCCGGAACUUAAAAUGAAAUCCUAAAAUUGUUUCUCUAACCUCCUAUCUCAAUAUGGGCUGUUCUUUUUUUUUUUCUUUCUGGUCAACUAUUUCCCCCAACUUACGGACCCAUCUCGGCCUGCAGGCCUGCCGAGGCCUCUUCUCUCCUUUCGUCGUUCGGUCCCUCUAAUUUCGCUCUUGUGCUUGCGCACCAGGCGCCAUCUCUCACCGCGCCAGGAGCUUUGCAGCGCCAGACGGCCCCGCUCCACACCACAAUAUUCUUCCUUGGAACCUGCGGGCUCCGCUGAGCCGCUGCGUGAUCUUCUAUUCGCGACUCUGUGUACCUCGCCGUGUUACAAUUGCCUUCACUUUACUUCAUCAUUGCUCUCUAACCUAGGUACUCGGUUAUGAACAGCGCGCCGGCUAAGCGAGUACCCGGUGAAGGCGAGCGCAACGAGCCCUAGCACAUGGCAUCCAUCGAAAACUACAUAAUUUUCAGAGUAUGGAAUUUUCAGUCCGCGGUGUGGCCAACAUUAUCUUUAUAUGAUUAUAUUUGCAAACAGAGUUUUUAAGUAACAACGCAAAUAAAACACUCUCGUGUCAUUGCUCUAAAGGGGGAGAAAGGAAUAACAGAAACAACACCGUGCCAUUCCCCAGAAACAAAGAACAACGGUAAAAGUGGUUCUAGAUGAAGCUUAAAUUGACCAUCGAUGGCGAUUGUAUCGACACGGCAAACAUCCAGACAGCUAGCAUUGACUGACUUGGCCUAUUGAGUACUCCGCGGAACUCGGUACGUCUUAUGACAAGUCUCGUUUGACUCGAAUUAUUGACCUUCACUGUCCUUCGUCAUUGCUCUCUAACCUAGGUACUCGGUUAUGAACAACGUGCCGGCUAAGUGAGUACUCGGUGAAGGCGAGCCCAACUUGCCCCAGCACAUCGCAUCCAUCGAAAAUACAGAAUUUCCAAAGUAUGGAAUUUUCAGUGUGCGUUGUGGCCAACACUAUCUUUAUAUGUUUUAUUUGCAAACCGAGUUUUUAAGUAACAACGCAAAUAAAACACUCUCGUAUCAUUGCUCUAAAGGGGGAGUAAGGAAUAACAGAAAUAACGUCGUGCCAUUCCCCGGAAACAAAGAACAACCGUAAAAAUUGGUUCUAGAUGAAGCUAAAUUGAUCAUCGAUGGCGAUUGUAUCGACACGGCAAACAUCCAGACAGCUAGCAUUGACUGACUUGGCUGAUACAUCCACUUCACUGUUGAGUACUCCAGGGAACUCGACAGGUCUUAUGACAAGUCUCGGUUGACUCGAAUUGUUGACCUUAGGACAGUGACCUUGAUUUCCUCAUCCCCUUUCCUAUUGUCUUGCGGUCCUGAUGCCCAUUACCCAGUGCCUACCAGUGUGUGCUUCUCCCUCCGAUUGUACAUACGUGCGGGUCCCACAUGUCAGCCCCUUCCAUCCUCUUUACUUUAUAAUCUCCAAAGCAUGGGCCGCCCUUCUUUGUUACCUGUAUGGCUGUAUCACCUCCCCUGCCGAUGAGUGCCCAUGCAUGCUGAUACUUUGGUACCAUCUGCUCCAACCAAGCACCACCUCUCAUGCAAGUCAACAUAGAUGGUAUUUGGUGUCAAUUCACUGGUUAUAUUUUUAAAUGAAUUUAAUAUAAAUUUUGAUUAUCUAUUGCUUCUAAAUUCCUGUCGAAAUUAAUUUGAUAAUUUUUUAACCUAUAAUAUCCUAUACUUCAUUUUAUGAGGAAACUAUCAGAAAAUGAAUUGUAAUUUUUAUGACUCAUAUCUAUUUCCUCUCUUUAUUAGAUAUUUUGCUUUCCAAUUGUAUGUAAUCAAACUUUUAUUUAUUUUUAUCAUUCGGAGUUUUAGUUUUUUAUUACUUCCAUGUCAAGAUGAUAUUCUGGACAAGAUUCCAAUCAACCUUUUGAAAAUCUAACCACUAUUGACAGCUUUUAGAAUAUUCAGUUUGAAAAUUUAGAAUACUCAUUGAAAGACAUAAUAUAAUAUUUUGUAUGUUUAUAUAAUAUCUUCUUACUGAAAAUAGUGGCCACACAGCUAUGUUAUCCAAAACACCACCUUUUCUUUAAGAACGGGGGAACGAUUGUUUUUUUUCUAUUUUAUUAAUAUGAUAUUUUAUAGUCAAUCCGGAGACUUGUUUUCUCUUAGCUUUGCCUUAUUAAAAUAACAAUUGAAGAUUCCGUAAUGUGUGGUUCAGAUAUUUACUUCCAUGCGAGUUUAUAUUUUGGCUCCAGUUCGCUGGUCUUCCUCUCGAGUCAGCGACCGGAACGAGAGAACAGAAUAUCUACACACGAUUGAUUGGAAUUUGGAAACUGCAAACCAGUAGCGCAAUGGCUCCUGCCAUGGAUCGCCUCCACAACCUUCUGGUCCUGCUCUUGUUCAUAGGUUGCCUCUUCAUAGAUGCUGCCGCCAAGCUUAACACCACAGCGCCUUGCCUCCCGGAUCAAGCUUCUUCCCUCCUCCGGCUAAAAGCUUCCUUCAUCGGUGACAACCUACCAUCAUGGCAAGCUGCAACAGAUUGUUGCCACUGGGAGGGCGUCACCUGCGACAUGGCCUUUGGAAGAGUCAUUUCUCUUGACCUCAGUGAGUUCCACCACCUAAUGAGCAGUCGUCUUGAUCCUGCGCUCUUCAACCUCACCUCUCUCAGGAACCUCAGCCUUGCAUCUGUUGACUUCAGAGGAGUCUCGCUCCCGGCUUUUGGGUUUGAGCGGCUCACGGAUAUCAUUUACCUCAACCUCUCUGAUACCGGUUUUAUGGGUAAGAUCCCAAUUGGAAUUGCGUGCCUCAAGAACCUUGUGACCAUUGACUUGUCUUAUAAUUACGAAUUGUAUUUUGAACGGCCAAGUUUCCAAACCAUCAUGGCAAAUAUGAGCAAUCUGAGGGAGCUUUAUCUUGAUGAAGUGGGUUUACAGAACAUCGGAUCGGAUUGGUCCACUGUUUUAGCAGACUCCGUUCCCCAGCUACAGAUUCUUAGCUUGCCCUGGUGUGGUUUAUCAGGUUCUAUCCACCCUUCAUUCUCAAGGCUUCGCUCACUUACGGUGAUCAACCUCAGAUACAAUGAUGGACUCACCGGCAAAGUCCCGGAGUACUUUUCUGAACUAUCUUCCUUGACCAUUUUAGACAUAUCAGGAAGUCAAUUUGAAGGGCAAUUUCCAACAAAAAUAUUCCAGCUAAAAAGUUUGAGGACGCUUGAUUUGUCCUGGAACCCCAUGCUUUCUGUGAGAUUAACAUAUUUCCCAGCUGGAAACAAUUUGGAAGUACUAAAUCUAGAAGGGACCAAUUUGUCUUAUGACACGCCAUUGGGGCAAUCUCGAGUCUUUAAAGACAUUGGGGCUUAGCACGAUGGGAAUUGAUAAUGAACUCUUCUCUUUGAUAUCUGAGCUUCCAGCAUUGGAUUACCUGCGACUCACUGGAUCAGAUUUGGAGAACCCGGUAUUAUCUUGGGUCAGCAAUCUUACCCAAUUGACAAACCUGGUGCUUGAAGGUUAUGACUUCUCAAACUCGGUUCCCACUUGGAUCGGCAAAUUGACAAGGCUGGAAAUUUUGACAAUAUGGGAUUGCAGUUUCUCCGUGCCAAUACUGUACCAGAUUAGAAAUCUUACUAAAUUGGCAGCGCUGGAGUUCACUGGUUGCGACUUAUCUGAGCAAACAAUGCCAUCAUGGAUAGGCAAUCUUACAAAGUUGACUUCUUUGACCAUUGAAGAUUGCAGUUUAUCUGGGCCAAUACCCUCUACAAUUGGAAACCUGAUCCAACUUGAAGAGUUGGUGUUCUGGGAUACUAACAUCAGCGGUGAGACUAUGUCCCUGUUACUUUCUUUCUAGAUACCUCCUUUUAUUUUGCAACUGUAGACAGAUCAUACACCUACUAUAUGACACGCCAUGCAUACACCGUUAAAAAAAUAAUAAUGAAUUUAAGUGAAGAAGAAAAUUUAACACUACCAAAUCGACAGAGUGAUCUUCAGAAAACAAGAAAAAGGCUUUGGCUAGUAAUUUUCGGCAAUGUUGAGAAAAGAAAAACACUGAUAUUUUCACUUUGAGUCUAUGACCAAUUUCCAUAGUUUAGUAGUUUGGAAGGUUAGAUGCCUUUAACACUAGUACACACGAGUCACGACUCAGGUCCUCUUUUCCUUCUUUUUUCUGUAAAUAUAGUAUUGGUCCAUUUACAAAUAUACCAAGGAAUAUUAAUUUUUUUGGACAGGCCUUUUUUUAUUAUUUUGACCAGAUUUACAUGUAAAUGUUCUCUAACGAUAAAUCAACUUUAGAAUAUAUCAUUUGUAGAUCGAAACACUGGAUCUGUUAAAAUAUAUAUUGAAUAUGUUGUGUUAAAAUUGUUCGGCUUUCCCUGGUCUAAGGCCUCUUUGAAACAAAGGAACAACAAAAGGAAGGACUAGGUUUUUUGAGCAUGGUCUCUCUCCCUCUCUCUCUCUCAAACCUGAGCGUGGUCUGGAUUUUCUACUUGUUAUGAUUUGUGAAGGAAGAGGACCCUUUCUUGUGGAAUUGGAAUUGGAGGGUGCAUUCCAAAAUUCCAAAAUUCAAACGGUUCUUUCCUUUCCUCCAGAACGCAGUUACUUUUGUGUCCUUACCCCCUCAGUGUCGUGGCUUCUUUAGGCCAGUCUCAAUGCACAAUUUCAUUGCAAUGUUACAAAAAUUGCAAAUUUGGUAACUGUGCAGGUAGGGUUUCAUGAGGAUGAAACUCCUCUCUCAUUUCAUGAAACUCCAUCCUCUCUCUCCUCAUAAAGACCUUGACAAAUCAGCAAAAUUGCUGAUGUGGUAUAGAAAUUAAUGCUGACGAAACUUUUUAUAACACUUCCACUAAGACUGGCCUUAGAUUGCAGCAACAUUCGGAUAUGUCUAGCUCCAAUGUAAUGAGAUGCUAAUUUGUUUCAAUUUCAUACUAGCGCUUUUAGUGUGAAGAAGCAUUAAUAAAGUCUACAACAUUCUAACUGUUGGUAUUCUACCCUAACAUGCAGGAAAAAUUCCGAAGUCUUUGUUCGCUCUUCCAGUCCUGCAGCAGCUUCAUCUAGUUAGGAAUCAGCUUGUUGGCCCACUAGAAGACAUUCCUGCUCUUUUAUCGUCACCAAUGCGGGAGAUCGAUUUAGGAGGUAAUCAAUUGACAGGCCCAAUACCAAAAUCACUUUUUCAGCUCACGAAUCUUGAGCGUCUUCUUCUAGCUGAGAAUCAGCUUGUUGGUUCACUAGAAGACAUUCCUGCUCCUUUAUCAUCACCAUUGCGGGAGAUCGAUUUACAAGGUAAUCAAUUGACAGGUCCAAUACCAAAAUCACUUUUUCAGCUCACGAAUCUUGAGUAUCUCAAUCUUGGCUCGAAUAAAUUGACAGGCACAAUAGAACUUGGCUCUAUACGGAGGUUGAAAAAUCUCAUUAUUCUCGACCUGGGUAACAAUAUGAUAUCACUCGUAGAAAAAGAAGGUGAUACGAUAUUCUCUUAUUCCCUUAAAAUCCAGACCUUAUACCUUGCAUCUUGCAACCUUACAAAAUUUCCGGAACCAUUAAAAUAUCUUGACACUAUUCAAUAUCUCGACCUUUCCAAUAACCAAAUCGAAGGGGCCAUACCAAGUUGGGUGUGGGAGAAACCACUGCUUCAGUUGAACCUCUCACACAACAUGUUUACUACUUUAGAGAAGUCUCCUACUGUUCAGAUGACACAUUUAAAUUCUCUUGAUCUCAGUUCUAAUAGAAUUCAAGGAAGCAUACCAAUACCAUCAACUCCAUCCGACCUGAUUCUGUUGGAUUACUCAAAUAAUAACUUCUCUACCAUUGAACCGAACUUUGGCAGGUAUCUUACAAAUGCCCACUACAUCAAUUUGUCAAAAAAUAAAUUAAGUGGCCAUGUACCACUUUCAUUUUGUAGUUUAAGCCAACUUGAGCACAUGGACUUAUCUUACAAUAACUUUAGUGGACCAAUUCCAUCAUGUCUUAUGGAAAGAGUUGACCCGAGCAUACUGAAGUUAAGAGGAAACAAAUUACAUGGCGUGCUACCUGAAAAUAUUAGAGAAGGAUGUAAGCUUCAGACAAUUGAUUUCAAUGAAAAUCAAAUUGAAGGUGCGCUACCUAGAUCACUAGCAAAAUGCCAAGACUUAGAGGUUCUUGAUGUUGGCAGUAAUCAUAUUGUAGAUUCAUUUCCAUCAUGGAUGGGUACUCUUCCAAAUCUUCGAAUUCUUGUGUUGAGAUCUAACAAACUCUAUGGCACUAUAAGGGAUCUUCGCAGGGGCUACCAACACUUCACAAGUUUGCAAAUAGUUGAUUUGGCCUCCAACCAUUUCUCUGGUGACUUACAUUCCGAAUGGUUUGAGAAUUUUAUUUCAAUGAUGAAUAACAGCAAUGAUGAGGGGCAGAUAUUAGAGCACCAUCCAACUGGACCAAUGACACGAUUGUAUCAAGAUACUGUCACUAUCACCUUCAAAGAUGCUGCUUUAAGCAUCACCAAAAUCCUUCGUGCUUUCAAAGUAAUUGAUUUGUCAAAUAACUCAUUUGAGGGUUCCAUUCCAAGUUCAAUUGGAAGACUUGCUUCACUUCACGGACUUAACAUGUCGCACAAUAACUUCACGGGAGAAAUUCCAUCACAACUUGGGAAGUUAACAAGGUUGGAAUCAAUGGAUCUCUCUUGCAACCAUCUCUCGGGAGAAAUUCCACAGGAGUUUACCUCUCUAACUUCUCUUUCCGUGUUGAACCUUUCGUACAACAACUUGACAGGAAGAAUACCGCAGGGAAACCAAAUCUUGUCAUUUCCCAGCAGUUCGUUUGAAGGCAAUGCUGGCCUAUGUGGAAUUCAGCUUUCCAAGGAAUGUGACCCUCGUCCAGAUUCAACCACCCCAAGCACAUUGGCUCCAGAACACAAUGCUUUGUGGCAGGAUAGACUUGAUGCCAUCAUGUUGUUCCUCUGUGCUGGCUUGGGCUUUGGCGUGGGUUUUGCAUUGGCAAUCAUAUGCGGUCCCUUUUACCACAUAGAAGAAUGGCUUUGCAAGCAUUUGUAUUAGUAAUAUAAGUUUUCAACAAGAAUAAUUAUGUAUGUUUGUGCUGUACUCGUUAUUAGAUGAGACAUCUUAAAUCCACUCAGUUGUAAUUACGUUGUAACUAGUCCAUCAACCCGUACUUCCGCAUGGGCAAAUAUUUUUAAAAGCUGUUGUAUUUGAAAAUUAUUUAGAAAUUAAACUCCUAGCUAAUAAUCAAAAUUGUUUACUUAUUACUCUCACAUUUUUUCAAUACUUCAACAUAGUACUCAUAUAGAUGUGUACUCAUCUUUGUCUAGUUGUGAUUGAUUUUUAAUUAGUAAUUACUCUAUACACUUUUUCAUCCACAUUCACACCUUUCCAUUUUUUAUUGCACCUCCGUACAUUGUGUUUAGCAUCAAAAUUAAUAUUUUUCAUCACUUUAUCACAUACAUGUAUAAAUGGUCUACAUGGUAACACUCAUCAUGUCUAUAUACCUUAACUUAGUAUUUCUAUAUUAACAAUGACAUAAACUAGUAAUUUAGAAUCAUAUAUUAGUUUGUUUUUAGACAUUUCUAUAUGAUGCAUAUGCAUGAAGAUAAUUAGAUUAAGAAUUAGGUGUUUACUUUAGAUUAUUUUUAAAAAUGACAUACAUGAGUAACUUAGAUACAAAUUUAGAAUGGCAUUUUAAGUUAUGCUUUAUAAUUGUAGGCAUGGGUAAAUUGGAUGAAGAUUAUGGGGUUACUUUACAUUAUUUUUUUAUAAUGGUAGGGCUUGGUAAUUUAGAUAUAGGUUUGGGGUUUACAAUGACAGUGGUGGGUAACUUUUUAGAAAAUAUAAUAGACCAAUGACUAUGAUUAAUAUAGUUUGCAUGAUUGAUAUUUGAUAUUUAUGAUUUUUGUGAGAAGUAAUUGUGUUUUUUUAGCAUAUCUCUUAAGAACCAAUGCAGAGUCUCCAAUGGAAAAAAAUGAGGCCACAUUGCUAUAAAACUAUUACCUUGAGCUCCUUCUCAUUUGUUAAAUAUUCAAAAACAUACUUAUAUAGAUAUAUAAUUAUUAUCUUCACCCGAUUGCGAUAGAUUUUAGUUUGUAAUUUCUCUUUAACAUUUUCAUCCAUAUUUAUAAUCUUUAAUUUUUCACUUUGCAUUGCAAAUAUGCGCUUGAAUUUGUUUAAUGGAACCUAAGUUUGAGCUAACAUUUUAACAUAAAAAUUUAUAUUCCCAUCACUUUAAUUCUCUAUAUCUUUAUAAAUGGUGAAAGACAUCUUGCCUAUAUACCUUAAUUAUUAUAUGAUAUACCUAUAGUGUAAGAAAUAGAUGAUUUAGAAUCAUAUAUUGGUGUAUAUUUUGAAUUAAGGUUAUUUGGAUUCAAAUGUAGGGUUACCUCAUGUUAUUUUUAAUAAUAGCAUAUAUGGGUAAUAUAGAUGCAAAUUUAAAGGGUCAUGUUAAGUUAUUUUUUAAGUAUUAGUGGUGGGCAAUUAGUUGGUAAUUUAGGAGGUUAUUUUAAAUAUUAUUUAUAAUGGUACAUGUGGGUAAUUUUGAUAAAUAUUAGGGGUUAGUUUAGUUUAGUUUAUAUAAUAGCAUAUGGGUAAUUUAGAUGUAGAUUUAGGGGUUACUUUAGGCUAUUUUCAUAAUGGCAUAGGUGGAUAAUUUUUUUUAGAAAAACAUAAUAGAUCUAAUGGCUAUGAUGAGUUGAGUCUACAGAUUGAUGGCCAGAUGUUUUGCUUUUUUAUGAGAAUUUCUACGAUAAGAAAUGCAGCGGUGGUCCUCUCUAUAAAAUUUGCAUGGGUCUUAAAGCAGACAAACUUAUUAAUUAAAUAUUUUUUAGUUAUCUUUAUUCUGGGUCUCUUCUAGGCCAGCCCAGUCCAUGUCCAGAUGAGUCUGUUUCCUCCCGAUCCGUUUUAGUCCCUCUGAACGGCGGCUCAUGUUCCUCGCGAAAAGAACGGAGCAACGAUGGCUUGCGGCGGCGCUCCAUGGCAGUGGCACAUCAUAAAGGCGGUGGAAGCAUCCAACAUGUGGUUGGACUGAAACAUUUUCAUGAUUAUUCCUUCUGUGAAGUUAGUCACCUUGCAAUGUGCAAGCUAGAAACAAUAUCAUUGCAAGCAUAAUAAGGUACAACAUCUGCAAUGUUUCUCAUGAAUGUGUGGAAUGGCCUCCGGACACGACGUCCGCAAAACGGUCAGGAAUAAUGAACCAAGUAGCAAUUAAUGUGCAGGCGCCGUAUGUAGAGCAGGUUGGGAUUUGGGAAGUCCGGUGUCACUGCAGUCCACCUCGUCCGGUAGCACGAUUACACCUGCCUGACGAGGAGAUGGUACCGCUACAUGUGCUAAGGACGUCGAGUUGUCGAGGUCCCAGCUAGACGCGCGACUCUCUCUUGGUGCAGCCGUUUCCCUCUCCGGGCAGUGGCGAUCUCACUCACCGGCGCAGCUCCGUGCAGCCGCUACAUGUGCACCUCCAUUAUUGAUUAUGUCGGCCACUGAUAUUCUCUUUAUCCAAUCCAAUCAAAUCCAAUCGUAUUGGCUGGGUAGGAGUGGGCGAGGCGAGGCAAGGCCCAAGAUUAUCCCACUGCUAAAAAAAUUAAGAAAUAAACUAAUCUUGUUGCUUUGAAACGCGUGCUAAUUUUUAGAAAGGGACCACCAGAGCAUUUCUCUUCUAUGAUUUCUCUCUUUUUCUAAGUGUCCACUUAGGAUUCUAGGUAGUUUCACCUGAAGGCUUCAGAAGGAGUCUCUAAUUAGUAAUAUUUACUGAAUUUCAUAAGGCCCCGUUUGGAUCAUUGGAAUUGAAUUCCAUCAUAAUAAUCAUAAUUUAGACACAAAUUAAUUAAGCUAAUAUAAUUGUAUGUGAAAUAUAGUUGUAUAUUAUAGUUGGUGAUAUGGGAGAGAUACUUAUGUGCUGCACUUCUACCAUAGAGAAGCGAGUCUAAGAGCGUGCUAUAAGAAUUGAAUUCCAUUCUAAUAACCAUAAUCUAUAGAAUCAAUUUCCAUCUCCCACCCCAUGAAUUUAAGAUAAGCUUAUAUAUAAACUUUGGAAAGUUGUGGAAUGCCACAUUCCAACAUAAAUUAGCCUACUCCAUUAAAUAGAUUCCAAUUCCUUCAUACCAAACGGGGCCUAAGUGAUUUUCAAAGAGAGUUUUUUUUUGACAGCACUCCAAGUCUCCAACUUGAUAUCAACUGAAACUGAAAGCCGGCCAAGGUGCUGGUUGUAUCUGAGUACCACUAUCCAGAAUCUCCACUUGUAUUGGCGGUGGCCAUGGAUGCUUCAGAAGCUCACCAUCUCUACUUGGCUGAAUGGCGUCCACAAUAUUGGCCUUAGAUCAUCUGCACUGUGCAAUGCAUGUUACCGGCAUUACCCUGAACACCUUGAGGGCAUUGUAGACACCAGUGCCAAUACACAGCAGAAACAUGUCAUCUGUUAGAGCCGGGCUCUCGCUGGUGAUUUGGAAGUCGCAGACGUUGUUGCUGUUGAUUGUGGUGAACAAAGUUAGGGUGGUGGCUAGAGCACUCGCGGUCGGUGGAACACAAGCAUUGUGGAUAUGACUGGGCAUUGAACAUCUGGUGGGCGUCACGGAUUAGCACUCCGUAGUGGUGAUAGAGAUGGCUAGGGUGGCAUCCUGGUCAGAGUAGAGGUGGAUGUAGAGGGAAGUGCCGAGGAUGCGGUCUUGGACACCAGAAUGCAGGUGUCAUGGUAAAGGGAAGUCUUUGGACACCUUGUGGGCGCCAUCUCUAGAACCUCGGUGGCCCUGACAGAACGAUGCGGAAAGCUGUUGGUUAUGCCGAGGUCAUGGCUGUAGGCACUUGAAAGCAGGUGGCCUGGUUAGGACCCGCCAUCGAACACCUGGUGGGCGCCACUGGUUGAAGCUCCGUGGCCGUGAUGAGAAUGACAACAGAGGCAUCCCGUGGUGGAAAGGAGGUCAGUGAAGGGGGGUUGAAGAUGCCGGUGGCUCAGCACGGUGGCACAACUGAGCAUUCCUUUCCUCGAUCUUCCGAUUCAUGUCAUCACACUUCUGAUCUAGUUCCUCGAGCUUGGCCAGUAUCACAGCACACAUCUCCUCCGUCAUGUUCACUCGUAUUCCGAUGCAGUGGUAGUGGUGGUUUUUGAUCGAAAUAGCUGUGAACCAAAUGUCACACCCUAGAUGCAACUCACAGAACAAAUUAUCUCCCAACAAUGAACUACGGAAUAUAUAUGGAGUAUACUAGAAUUUGGAUACACAUGGAUGAGGAACUCGCUAGUGUUCUCGAGUCGAAGCUUGCCGCCGCAGAGCCAAUGAGUCCCAAAUCCAGUUCUUCUUUCCCUCAUGACGACUAUUUUAUCCUCUUACAUGCUGCGCCAGCUAUGCUGCAGCGAUACCCGUUCAUGGGCCUAUCUUAACUACCUUAGCCAUCGGGCCCAACAAGAAUAACGUUGGGCUUCCGAACCUGAUGGCCCACAACUUCAGCUUUACUUCACUUAAGAUAGUUGCUAGUUAGUACUCCCUCCGUCCCAAAUUAUAGGUCGUUUUGACUUUAUUAGAUUCAUAGACUUUGUUAUGCACUUAGAUAUCUAGAUGCAUAAUAAUAUCUAUGUAUCUAGAAAAGUCAAAACGAUCUAUAAUUUGGAACGGAGGGAGUACAUGUCUUAUCUACAACCCUGCAUUAGCUAUCUCACUCUAGUUUGGCUAGCUGUCAGGACAGUCUGCUUACUCGAAGCUUGAGGCAUGUUUCUUUAAUAUAGUUUUCUUUUUCUUCUUGGAUAUUUA
rnacentral:lncRNA from 1 species